AUGCUGAGCCUGACAUUUGGGGAAAGCCAGGGAAACAGAUGCUGGGUCAGUGCUCCUCCCACUUCUCCCCUCCUAAGAGCUCCACUGAGUCACCAGCCAGCAAACACCCCAUGCCCGCUGGAAGAGAUGGACUGUGGGCACACGAGCCUCUGCAUGGGCACCGUAUCGUUUUGGCCUCACCCAAUCACCUGGCUCCGUGUAAGAUGUGCCUGCUUCCUCUUCACCUGCCAUGAUUGUAAGUUUCCUGAGGCCUCCCCAGAAGCAGAAGCAGAAGCCUGUACAGCCUGCAGAACUGUGAGUCAAUUAAACCUCUUUUCUUUAUAAAUUUCCCAAUCUCAGGUAGUUCUGUAUAGCAGUGCAAGAAUGGACUAAUUCAGGCACGUAGGGUUCAGACAGUGUGCUAAACACUUCACACUCCAUCUCAUUUAAUUUUCUGAGAAACUUAUUGGUUAAUUAUCAUUAUUAUGCCCAUAUUACAGAUGACGAAACUGAGGCUUAAAGAAGGACAUAGUCUACAGGCACUGAAAUGCUCACUGUAUUUGCUUUCUGGGACUGCCAUGAAAAAGUACCACAAGCUGGGUGGCUUAAGACAAGACUGAUGUGUUCGCUCACAGUUCUGGAGACUGUAAGUUAGAAAGCAAGGUGUCUGCAGGGCCAUACCCUCCCCAAAGGCUCUGUGAGGGGAUCCUUCCUGGCUUCUUCUUAGCUUAUGGCAGUUGCCGGCAAUCCUUGGCCUCCCUUGCUUGUGGCAGCAUCACACCAAUCUUGGCCUCUGUCAUCCCAGGGUCGUCUGCCAUCUGUGUCUGUCUCUGCGUCUCUCCUCUUCUAAUAGGGACGGUUGUUAUAUUGGAUUAAGGGCCCCCCAUUUUCCAGGAUAACAUCAUCUUAAUUAAACUAAUUGCACCUGCUACUACUCUAUUUCCAAAUAAUAUCACCUUCCAGGGCUCUGGAAAGGAUACACAUUUUAGGGGAGAUACUAUUUAACCUGGUACAUUCUUUAAUCCUGUUUCUUCUCCCUGGACACACAGGAAGGCCACUCUUCCUAGUCUCCCUUACAGUUAGGUUGGGUCUAUGUUCCUGCAUUUUGGUCAACAGAAUGAGAGCAGAAGCAAUGUUCAUCAUUCCAGGGUUGGCCAUAAAACACCUGUGCAAUCUUCCACACUCUCUUCAGUCAUCAACAGAUUGAAUUUGGGGAAUGACUCUAAGGAAUCCCUAGAACCUGGAAAUGCCCUCGGAUGGAAAAAGCAGAGAUCCUGCAUUACAGCAUGGAGGGCCUGCUUCUGAGGACUAAGUGGAUUAGAUAAACCUUUACUGUGCUAAGCCUCAGACCUGCAAGCUGCUUGUUAUAGCUGUUAGCCUCACUAACACAGACAUCUAACUGGUAAACUGCAGAGUGGGAUUCAGACACAAGUGCAUCGAACCCAAAGUCUAGGUUCUUAAUUGCUAUUUGGUUUCCUGACCAUUGCUCUUGCUAAUUUAGCUAGUGUUUUCUUCUCCCCCCUUUUUUUUUGUAUAUGCACAUCAGUGGUUUAGCAGGUGAGGGCACUUGUUUGCAAAAUGACCUACUGCGAAUUGCCCACUAGUGAUCCACGUGUUCUGCACUGUUAGGAGGGCAUGAAGGCAAAGUCCAGAAGUGCUAGAAUGUUCUAGCAUAUUCAUCCCCAGCUCUUUGCAGAGGGACCUAAUAAAGAACUUCUGCAUCAGCCUGUCCUUAGAAGGUCACCCAUUUUUCUCAUGUUGCUCCUCUUUAUACUUCUAGGUGAUGUCAUGCCUCUUUGAAACCCACCCCUUCCUCACUGGCCCUUCCAGGAACUUGGGUGGGUUCUUGUUCCACUUGUCCUGCAGCUUCUUGAGUGCACACUGUCUGCCAGGCACCAAAGAGGCACAGUGGAGGAAGCUCUGCUGUCUCAGGGUUCCUAUUCCCAGGGGAGGUUGAGAUCAGGUCCUGAGGCGCAGGGCCUUUCGUGGGAUUGGGCCACAAGACACAAAAGCAAAGCAAGAAACUGAGAGCAGGUGUAGAUCUGUGCCUUGUCCUGGCUGGGAGUCAAGAAGGUUUCCCAAGGAGUAGUAGUUGGGGUGAUACCAGGUGAGGACAGUCUGGGUGAGCCGGGUAUAUAGGGAGAUGCUCCAGAGUAGGGGAGGGAGGGGCUCACUGGAGCAAGAAAAGGAGACUGCGCCUUCCCUGGGCCUGGGUCCAUAUGAUGGGGGCAUGGCACUCAGGGUGAUUUUGUGCAGCUCUGAAUGCACCUCCAGAGGGUGGGACCACCUCAUCUUAAGAUAAAAGUUUGGAAGCAGUCCUUUAUUUCAGCUGAGCUUUAGCUUUUAGAACAGUCUUCCAGGCUUCUGAAUGAGCAUCAGCCAUUAGUAUAGACCCAGGAAAACGCAUGUGAGGUUGUUGGUGAUUCUCUGGCCUCAAAUGUUCUAUUUUGUGCAUUGCUUUUCCUCAUUUUUGCUAUCUAUCUAGGGCCAUGAUUUAUAGACUAAACAUUUCUCAUGCUGCACAAUCAGAAUCUCAUAUAUUGCAUCAUGAAAUACUUGACACAUAAAAAAUAUUACAUAACAUACAUGGAAGGCAUGUGAACCAGCCACUCAGCCAAAAUUAUACUUAAACCACUCAUCCCAUGUGCAAGAGCAUUAGUUUUUUCCUGACCACUUUCUAUUGUAUUUACUUUUCUAAUUUUUAAAAAUGAAGGUUACUUAUUAAUGGUAGAACCCUUUUGCUAUGAAUAAAAUUAUUGUGACCAAUUUUGUAAGAAAAAUAUGAUGUGGUUCAUUACAUUUUACAAAACAAGUUUAUUGAUGUAACAAUAAAUUGCCUCUACUUAAAGUGUAAGUUUUGACAUAUGUAUAUAACCUUAAAUUUAUCUGUGCCAUCAAGAUAAUGAACAUGUCUAUCUCCCCACGGUAGCCCCUCCCUCGUCUCCUUGAACCCCCAUCUGUUUUCUGUCACUAAAGAUUAGCUUGUAUUUUCUAGAACUUAACAUAAAAGGAACUAUAUGGUAUGGAUUCCUUUUUGGCUAGCUUCUUCCGUGUAGCAUAGUGAUUCUGAGAUUCAUUCCUGUUGCAGUGUGUAUUAGUAGUUCUUUUUUAUUGCUGAGUAAUAUUCCAUUAUAUGGAUAUAUCACAAUUUGUCUAUUUAUCUCUUGAUGGACAUUUGAUUUGUAUCCAGUUUGGGUAUUACAAAUUAAAGCUGCUAUGAACAUUGGUGUACAUCUCUUUGUUUGGAUAUAGGCUUUUAUUUUUCUUGGGUAAUUUUAUUUUAUUAUAACUUUCACUUCUCUCACAGUCAGAUAUCUUCUACUAUAUACCCACGGCUUCUGCACAGACCAGGCAGGACGGGAGUAAG
ensembl:lncRNA